rnacentral:piRNA from 1 species
UGAGGAUGCUGAGCAUUUGUUGAAGUGU